UAAGAACCUCACCUUUCUUGAUAUGAAGGUUGAGGUUAUGAUAUAAUGUGCCCAGUGGGCCACUUUUGGUAAGCAGAACUGGCGCUGUGGGAUGAACCAAACGUAAUGUUACGGUGCCAAAAUUAACAACUCAUACAGAUACCAUGAAAGGCGUUGGUUGCUUAAAACAGCAGGACGGUGGACAUGGAAGUCGUAAUCCGCUAAGGAGUGUGUAACAACUCACCUGCCGAAGCAACUAGCCCUUAAAAUGGAUGGCGCUUAAGUUGUAUACCUAUACAUUACCGCUAAAGUAAAUGGUUUAUAUUCAAUUUCGAUUGGAUUAUAAAUUUUGAAACUUUAGUGAGUAGGAGGGUAUAAUGGUGUGCAUAGAAGUGUUUGGCGUAAGCCUGCAUGGAGCCGCCAUUAGCACAGAUCUUGGUGGUAGUAGCAAAUAAUCGAAUGAGACCUUGGAGGACUGCAGUGGAGAAGGGUUUCGUGUGAACAGUGGUUGAUCACGAGUUAGUCGGUCCUAAGUUUAAUGCGAAAGCUGAAUAUUUUCAAAGUUAAAUAUAUAUAAAAAUUAAUUAAAUAAUUAAUACACUUUGAUUAAUAUAUUUAAACGAAAGUUUCGUGUGAACAGUGGUUGAUCACGAGUUAGUCGGUCCUAAGUUUAAUGCGAAAGCUGAAUAUUUUCAAAGUUAAAUAUAUAUAAAAAUUAAUUAAAUAAUUAAUACACUUUGAUUAAUAUAUUUAAACGAAAGGGAAUACGGUUCCAAUUCCGUAACCUGUUGAGUAUCCGUUUGUUAUUAAAAAUGGGCCUAGUGCUCAUCCUGGCAACAGGAACGACCAUAAAGAAGCCGUCGAGAGAUAUCGGAAGAGUUUUCUUUUCUGUUUUAUAAUCGUAUUACCAUGGAAGUCUUUCGAAGAGAGAUAUGGUAGAUGGAUUAGAAGAGCAUGACAUUUACUGUUGUGUCGAUAUUAUCUCCUCGGACCUUGAAAAUUUAUGGUGGGGUCACGCAAAUCUCUCAACAGGCCGUACCGAUAUCCGCAGCUGGUCUCCAAGGUGAAGAGUCUCUAGUCGAUAGAAUAAUGUAGGUAAGGGAAGUCGGCAAAUUAUUUAAGGAGUUUUUAAGAAGAGGUGUCAGAAAAGUUACCACAGGGGUAACUGGCUUGUGGCGGCCAAGCGUUCAUAGCGACGUCGCUUUUUGAUCCUUCGAUGUCGGCUCUCCCUAUCAUUGUGAAGCAAAAUUCACCAAGCGUUGGAUUGUUCACCCAUGCAAGGGAACGUGAGCUGGGUUUAGACCGUCGUGAGACAGGUUAGUUUUACCCUACUAAUGACAAAAUGUUAUUGCGACAGCAUUCCUGCGUAGUACGAGAGGAACCGCAGGUACGGACCAAUGGUACAAUACUUGUUCGAGCGAACAGUGGUAUGAUACUACGUCCGUUGGAUUAUGCCUGAACGCCUCUAAGGUCGUAUCCGCGCUGGACUGCAAUGAUAAAUAUGGGGCGAUUGCAUUGUAUGGCUCUAAAUUAUUUUUUAAGUUUUAUAAGAAAUUAUAAAACGACAAAUAAUAUGUGGCGCCAAUGUUAUAUGUAAUAUAGCUAAUGUAAGAGGAUUAAAUACUGCUUGCAUGCUAACGCUGAAUUACACAUAUUUAAAACAUUAUUUAAUACAAUGACAAUGCCUAGAAUCAAUUGUAAACGACUUUGGUAACGGGCAAGGUGUUGUAAG
rnacentral:rRNA from 1 species